rnacentral:miRNA from 1 species
AACCGGGAAUUUCGUGUCAGCC